rnacentral:rRNA from 1 species
UACGUAGGGUGCAAGCGUUAAUCGGAAUUACUGGGCGUAAAGCGUGCGCAGGCGGUUUUGUAAGUCUGAUGUGAAAUCCCCGGGCUCAACCUGGGAAUUGCAUUGGAGACUGCAAGGCUAGAAUCUGGCAGAGGGGGGUAGAAUUCAACGUGUAGCAGUGAAAUGCGUAGAGAUGCGGAGGAACACCGAUGGCGAAGGCAGCCCCCUGGGUCAAGAUUGACGCUCAUGCACGAAAGCGUGGGGAGCAAACAGG